GGGAGUGAGUGUGAGUGUGAGAGCAAGAACAGCCCGCAGGUCCCGAGGCGCUUGCAGGGGACUCUGCCGCGGAAAGUUCCCAGUCCCCAGCCGCAGGUGUUUUCCCUCCUGCUGAUCGUGGAAAGAAAUCACCAAGAAGAGGGGAAAGUUGCCCCGGGGCCGGUAGUCAUGUAGGGGUUACCAAAGCAAGGGACUCUGGCAGAGAUGCGCGCGGACAAUUUAAAUGCCGGCAUAAAAUGGCAUGUGUCAAUCAAAGCUAGAGGGUCAGAAGGGGAGGUGUGGGGAGGAUAGACCAGGCUGCAAAGGGAGUGCGGAGGUGAAUUCCCCCUAAAGCGGAGGGAUUCAGACCAAGGGACUUGGGGCGACAGCUCCUAUAGACGGGCAGAUGGUUGAACGUCUACCCAUCUAAUGUCUACCCACAAAAUGCUUGGUUACUAAAUUAACUCGUUUGGGGACAUUGCUUCGAACUGUGAGUACCCCAGUCAAGGACUGGGGGCUUCUUUGUAGUUUAUGCAUGGGAGCCCGCCAUCGUUAAACCCACUCUAGGGCACCGGAUCCAGCACCACCCAUCACAGCGAGGCGCUAGCAAUAUCCCUGCGCCUCGCCUGGCCCCGCGCCAGGCAGCAGUGGCGAGCGCGGGCUUUUCUUUUCUUUUCUUCUUUUGCCUGAUUUCUGUUUUAAUUAUUUAUUUUUCUUUUACCCUUGGUGAUCCAUCCCUGCCUCCAUAACUAGAGGGGGUGUGGGAAGAAGGUACAUGCCCAGCCCGAAGACAGCUCUCUGGAGAAUGACCGUGGGGUGGCCGCGAGGGCGGGCGGGGCGGUGCACACGCACACGGGGGAUAGA
rnacentral:lncRNA from 1 species